UACGUAGGGGGCAAGCGUUAUCCGGAAUCACUGGGCGUAAAGGGUGCGUAGGCGGCCUGACAAGUCAGAGGUGAAAGGCUACGGCUUAACCGUAGUAAGCCUUUGAAACUGAAAGACUUGAGUAUUGGAGAGGCAAGUGGAAUUCCUAGUGUAGCGGUGAAAUGCGUAGAUAUUAGGAGGAACACCAGUGGCGAAGGCGACUUACUGGACUGUAACUGACGCUGAGGCACGAAAGCGUGGGGAGCAAACA
rnacentral:rRNA from 1 species